UACGUAGGGUGCAAGCGUUAUCCGGAAUUAUUGGGCGUAAAGAGCUCGUAGGCGGUUUGUCGCGUUCUGCUGUGAAAACUGGAGGCUCAACCUCCAGCCUGCAGUGGGUACGGGCAGACUAGAGUGCGGUAGGGGAGAUUGGAAUUCCUGGGUGUAGCGGUGGAAUGCGCAGAUAUCAGGAGGAACACCGAUGGCGAAGGCAGAUCUCUGGGCCGUAACUGACGCUGGAGGAGCGAAAAGCGUGGGGAGCGAACAGG
rnacentral:rRNA from 1 species